UUUUAUAGAUGAGCAAAGAAAGUGGUUUCUUGAGGUGGAAUUUACUCCUGGUGAAGAUGCUGUGAA
rnacentral:pre_miRNA from 1 species